GAUGAACGCUGGCGGCGUGCCUAAUACAUGCAAGUCGAGCGAACGGACGAGAAGCUUGCUUCUCUGAUGUUAGCGGCGGACGGGUGAGUAACACGUGGAUAACCUACCUAUAAGACUGGGAUAACUUCGGGAAACCGGAGCUAAUACCGGAUAAUAUUUUGAACCGCAUGGUUCAAAAGUGAAAGACGGUCUUGCUGUCACUUAUAGAUGGAUCCGCGCUGCAUUAGCUAGUUGGUAAGGUAACGGCUUACCAAGGCAACGAUGCAUAGCCGACCUGAGAGGGGGAUCGGCCACACUGGACCUGAGACACGGUCCAGCCCCCUACGGGAGGCAGCGGUAGGAAAUCUUCCGCAAUGGGCGAAAGCCUGACGGAGCAACGCCGCGUGGGUGAUAAAGGUCUCCGAUUCGUAAACCCCUGUUUUAAGGGAAAAACAUAUGUGUAGGUACCUGUGCCCUUCUUGCCGUUACCUAUUCAAAAAGCCCCGCCUACCUCCGU
rnacentral:rRNA from 1 species